AGAGUUUGAUCCUGGCUCAGAGCGAACGCUAGCGGGCGGCUUAACACAUGCAAGUCGAGCGGGGGGCUUCGGCCUUCAGCGGCGGACGGGUGAGUAACACGUAGGAAUCUGCCUUUUGGUGGGGGAUAGCCAGGGGAAACCCCGAUUAAUACCGCAUAUGGCCUAUGGGUCAAAGCCGUAAGGCGCCAGAAGAUGAGCCUGCGUCCGAUUAUUUAGUCCUUGUUGGUGGGGUAACGGCCUACCAAGGGUACGAUCGGUAGCUGGUCUGAGAGGACGAUCAGCCACACUGGAACUGAGACACGGUCCAGACUCCUACGGGAGGCAGCAGUGGGGAAUAUUGCGCAAUGGGCGAAAGCCUGACGCAGCCAGCCCGCGUGUGUGAUGAAGGCCUUCGGGUCGUAAAGCACUGUCGUAGGGGAAGAAUCAAUGACGGUACCCUACAAGAAAGCACCGGCUAACCCCGUGCCAGCAGCCGCGGUAAUACGGGGGGUGCAAGCGUUGCUCGGAAUCACUGGGCGUAAAGCGUCCGCAGGUGGGUGUGUGUGUCGGAUGUGAAAGCCCAGGGCUCAACCCUGGAACUGCAUUCGAAACUGCACAUCUUGAGUACGGGAGAGGGAAGCAGAAUUCCUGGUGUAGAGGUGAAAUUCGUAGAUAUCAGGAGGAAUACCUGUGGCGAAAGCGGCUUCCUGGUCCGAUACUGACACUCAUGGACGAAAGCGCGGGGAGCAAACAGGAUUAGAUACCCUGGUAGUCCGCGCCGUAAACGAUGGAUGCUAGCUGAUGGAACUUUUACCGUUUCAU
rnacentral:rRNA from 1 species